UUUUUUUUUUUAUUACUCAAGGUAAAUCCCCGGACCUAUGGAAGGAUCUGAGAUUAAUCCCUGGGGAGAGAGUAUCCCACGGGUAGGGUCCCCCCUCCAUUUUUUCAAAUGGGCCUUAAGCAAGAGUCCCAUACCCAUGUGGCCAAAGGGAUAAAGCUAGCAAUUCUGCGUCUGGGGAGAAUCGAUCCCUGACCUAGAUCAACAGGGCGACUCUUCCACCAGACUAGAACCACUAGCCCACCACCUCUGGUU
rnacentral:lncRNA from 1 species